GCGGCCUCACUUGCACAUUUACGUUUUCAAGACAUACACUUGGCUAACUGCCAACUCGCCAUAAUGGCCGUGUUUCUGUUAAGCUUGAAGUAUCAAAAUUACAUAGUAUGACCUUCGACACGAACAUAAUACAAGAAUUAUAUGCAACCACUGAUGUUAUUUGAUGUUAACGAAACUAAAUGUAAUAAAAAUAAGUGAACAAUAACAUAUUAUUAAUGGAACUAGUGUUUGGAGGCCAUUUUUGACUGAGUAUUGCAAAAGAUACAACAAUUCAAAAGUCAUAUUGAGUUGGUCAAGUUCUAGGUUAGAAUGACGAACUGACCGGGAAGAACGAACUUUUUUCUGUUUUUUUCAAGAAAGGAUAGUUCAAAGAAUGAUUUAAAACGUUGAACCAAAAGAACCACCCUGAACUUGAGGUGAAAUCGAAAAGAGAAUCUGUGACGUAGAGGCCUAAUACAUUCUUUGAUUGGCCCUACCCUCUACUGUGAACUGCAGUUUCGCUUAUUCAAGGCUGAAAUACCAUUAGGUCUGUUAUAAUGACACAACGUGAAGUUGACCUUUAGUGAACCUCACUCUCCCUUUGGGGUAUUUAGGGCAUUUGCCCGGAAGAAUCCAUGAUGGGGCAGCCAUGACAGGAGUCAACUUCAGUUAGUACUGAAGAGAUUAUUGUCAGGAAAAGCAGUGUCCAAAUCUGAUGGGCAAGACAUGUCUUCCCUGCAUGGUGAACCUUCUUCGAAGAUGGUGACAAAUCAGCUGCUAGAAUAUAUAUUUAGCAGAGCGUGAGAUUUGUGAUGCUAUGGUAACUACUACCAGCGUUUUUCCACAUUCUUCGUAGGACGUUCUCUAUUGACGAUCCUCUCUAGAUGCAAUGGAUUAUAAAAGUUAGUACCUUUUAUAUCUAGGCUGUAAGAUCAUUUGUUCCUGUUUAGUCAGCUUGCAAGGCCCCAGCACUACUUUUAAACUAGAUAUGACUUGGAAUUAAAAUAUAAAAUAAAGUACGAGUCUCACUAAUGUGCACUUAUUGUGGAACGGGUGUGGUAUAAUGGUUAGCAUGCCUAGACUAUGAAUACGAGGAUUCAACUUAUUAUGGAACGGGUUUGGUAUAAUGGUUAGCAUGCCUGGACUAUGAAUACUU